UUUUGUUGCAGACAAAAAAUGAGAGAGAGGAGAAAUACGAAAGAGGGCUUACAAGUGAAAGAGCAUUGGACGCCUAUCGAAGGCUAUACACUUAACCGGAUAAUGAGGGGGAUCCUUUGAGGGAAUCCUUGCUGAGUACUGCGCGACGGAAUCCUGUUUGGAGGGUAUUUCAAAAAGUGUGUUCAGAGCACCAUUUAAAUACGCACCAAUUGAAGUGGGUUUUGUGUGUAAGAGCUCUGUUUAUAUUCCCAAACUCUAUAUAUUCUUUCACAAUCAGCAAUUGAAGACUUCCCUUAAUCAAUUGGAAUUGAAUCUUAUCUCACCACCGAUCUCCUCCAGUUAAAUUCAUUCAUGUCGUUAGAUUUCGGUUGCGCCAUUUUAUUGAAGCUAAGCCGUUUCUAACCACCAAUUAAGUUUGGUGCUCAAUAAAUAUCUUGCCUGUUAUCGAACUCCGCCCACAUCUGAUCGCCUUUCACCGAUGCCAGAGUACUGCAAACAGCAUAUAUCAUCCCCUUUUUGGCGGGAGGACACAUAGGUUUUCAAUACGUACGGGCCUACAGUGCGUUUCGAAAGUGUACAGCUUACUAUGUACGUAGAUGUACGGUAAGUUAUGUAAGAUUUUCUAUGUGAUGCAAGCGAAUAACAACUAGUAGUAAUAUAUGGAAAUAC
ensembl:ncRNA lncRNA:CR44189 long non-coding RNA:CR44189